ensembl:antisense Plxna4os1 plexin A4, opposite strand 1
UCACCAUAACAGGAAACAAACCCAUGUAGUCAGAGUCCAGCUUCCUGCUGACAGAGAAACGAAAACAGCACAAGCAGACCGGCUGAGGCUGGCCUGGGACAGCUGCCUGGCUAUUCCGGAUGCUCGUUUUCACGGGGUUCAGGAUCUCAGGCGCCAGGCAAACCUGAGUGACCAGCUAUGCUGGGACACAAGGCCAGCAUGAGUGCAAGGGGAUAACCCUGCCUACUUCCUAGGACUACCUGCUGUGUCUGGGAAUCAGUUGAAUCACACAGCAUGUAGGGAUGGAGUCCUCCUUCAUAUCAACGGUGUAUGCUGUUGGGCAGAAAGUGAAAAUGAAGCUUGUUCUUGUACCUCUGGGACCCCCAUGGAACUGACUGGAAGAAACAACAGAACUGGAGAUGGGUCACAGGAAAGCAGGAUGCCAACAUAGCUGACACCGGGGACAGUGUGGCAGGACUGUCUGGCUGAUGCUGACAUUGUGUGCCCUCCGGGACAUGUGUGGUCUGAGCUGAGCCCAAAUGAAUUGUAACCAGAGAGCCUGAGCAAAGGAACGUGGGUAUCAAGCAAAUCAAAGGAAACCGAUACUGUGCAUUAGAAGCUGGCCUGGCCUCCUUUAGCCUGGCUGGGAGACAGCCCUAGCCCUGUGCGCUUUCUGGCCUCCCCCUCCCUAUUCUCAGCUCUGAACUCUCCUCUAACUUGAAAGAGCUAAUUAAAGCCAAAAGAAAAAAAAAUCAAAAGCUUGUUAUCUGGCUCCAUUACUCCCAGUCCUGGCAUUGGUCUGCCUCGCCAAGCUGUACUCCCUCUGUUUGCUCCAAGGAUACCGUGCAGUGUUAGGACCUACUGCUCUGUAGGCCUCUGUGGUGAACUUGGCUUUUGUAUUACGGCAGAAGUGAGAACAGGAUAGAUACCAGUCAAAUGGACCCCUACAGAUGCUGUUGCUUCCCAAAGCCAAGCCCAGAACAAUUUUCUAGUAAGUUUUCUAAAGAAAACUGUCAGAGAAAACUUCCCAAACCCUCUGAUCUCAAAAGAACUAUCUGUUUGGUGAUUAUACUACCAUGCAAUCUUCAGGCAUGAGCAAUGUCUGCACAUGGGUGUGUAAAUGCAUUGGUGGAGAUAUGUAUUGCAUUGUAUUCAAGUGUGUCAGAGAACUCAAAUAUAAAAUGAAUCUUUAAAGAAGGCACUGUGGGUUGAAGUUCUCUCCCUUCCAAAUGCAAAUAUAGAUUUAAAUUUGAUUGCAUUUUAAUAGCAUCAAGAGAACCUGGGUAAUAGGUCUGGGGAGGAGCUCGGGGGUUAAAGCACUUGUUAUAUAGGUGUGAACCCUGAUUUUGGAUUUACAGAAUCCUAUGUAAACACUGGGUGGACAUAGCAGCCCACCUAUGAUUCCAGCCUUGAAGGCCCCUGAACAAGCUGGCUAGCAAAACUAGCCAUAUUGCUGAGCUCUGUGUUUUACUGAAAGACGCUAAUCUCAAAGAGUAAGGUGGAAGGGUGUUUGAAAAUGAUUUCCCAUAUCAACCUUGGGACCUAUACAUACACUGGGUCUACACAAUUAUAGCCUCUCCCAGAAUAUAUAGAAAAAUAAAAGAAGAGGUCAGAUAGUUAAGAGAUGAUUAGUGUGUGGGUUCAUUUGUUGUUGUUGUUUUAUUUUGCUUUUGUUUUUCAAGACACGGUUUCUCUUCAUAGCCCUGGAUGUCCUAGAAUUCACUAGGUAGAACAGUCUGGGCUCUUAAAUUAACAAAGAUCCACCUCUCUCUGCCUCCUAAAUUCUGGGAUUAAAGGCAUGUGCCACCACUCCUGGCUUGGAUUAAUUCUUUUAUUGUAGGAGUGGGUUAAGAAUGAGAUGAGCUGUCUAUUUCUUUCUCUUGCCUUGCCUGCAUCCUCCUGUCAUGUUGUGAUGCAGCAAGUGGGACCUCAACAAAUGUACACACUUGGUUGUAGACUAUGGCAACCUCCGAAACUAUUUGAAAUAUAUUUCUGCUC